UAGAGUAGUACUCUACUAGAAACCAAAUUAAAAUAGAAACUAGAAACCACAGGCCCAGCCCACUUUUUAAGACACCCAGUCCAGUAGCAUUGGACCCAGCCCAUCAUUACACAAAACUGCGACAGUUAAAAAUUAAAACUCACCCGAUACAAACGACUCACCGAUACACACGAUACACACGAUUCGCGCACAACGGUCCAUCACCUCCACUACUCCACUGUUCAUCUCGCGCUGCUCCACCGAGCUUAGGUACGUCUCCAAUGGCAGUUUCUUCAACUUUUCCCCUCUGUUUUCGUUCUAAUUAGGUAUAUUACAGCUUCUACGAAGAAAUUCAAGGCGAUUUUUGGAUCUCGCAACCGCAGCUGAAGCACCGAGCAAAAUAACUUGAACAUUUGUUGAAUAGGUACUUUUCUGUAGUUUAGUAGUAUUUAUAGUUAGUUAAUCAUCUUAAUCAUCUCGUAUUUUUAGUGUAUGUCGGUUUUUUUGAAUUUUAAGGGUUUUGUUGUAUAUUAUUGUGAAAACUGACUUCAAUCUACUAAUGUUCUUUCAUAACAGCUGUUAAUUAGCUUAUUUCACUCUGAAAGCUACUAAAAUAUGGCUAGAACUAGAGGAGGUAUGUUAAAUUAGGGUUUUAUCACUGUUUUUUUAAAUUAUUUGUGAUUUCAAGCAUUUACUUGUCUGAAUAUGUUGAUUUAUUGAAUAAUAUGUUGAUGAAUAUGUUGCUGAUUUGUUUAAUUAAUGAAUAUGAAUAUGUUGUUGAUGAAUAAGAUGUUGAUUUAGUGCAUAUUACUCAUCUUAAUGCAUAUUACUAAUCUCAGUUUGUAGAGUACGUAGAGUACUGAUCUUAGUGUGUAGUGUGUAGAGUACGUAGAGUACUUAGUGCAUAUUAAUCAUCUUAGUGUAGAGUACUUAGUACACAACCAGGCUGAGACAUAUGAUUUUAUAACACAUCUUGAUGUUAAUCUAGAUCAGUAAUCCACUAAGUUGAAUCAUGAUUAAGCUCCCAAAGUAGAAACAAAUGCCGUGGAAAAGUACUCUUUAUCUUAGCUAAUAAACUCAGAUUUAGUAUUGAAAAGAUGCUUAGCAAUUAAUAACUGACAGAUAUUAAAGCGAAUAUUUAACUGGUAUCCCUCUGGCAUGUUCAAACUCCAAGUUGAUUUAUGAUGAAUCAGGCAUUGAUUCAGCACCAAUGUCAAGCAGCUUAAUAUGAUUAUUUAAGACAUGGCUAGCUAAUUUUAUGAAUUAAGUAAUUAACAUUAAGUAUUACUAAUCAAUUCUUAUUAGUGAAGACUGACUAAUAAGAAUUGAUAUGAGAUUUGCAGAGCUUCUUAUUAGCGAAGACUAACAUGUAUAACUGAAAUAUUUCUUUAAUAAAACUAUUGUAGCAGAGCUAAGUGCUAAGUGUUUCUAAUCACAUAAUUUUUUAAGCCUAAAAAACAGAACAAGUUAGAAUCUAUUUUCUUCUCUUGGUAACCUCAAUUGAAUUUUAAUUAUAGUAUAUAUCGAAUGUCUGUAUAUUUGUGUGUUUUGUUUGUGAGAUAUCUAUCUGUUUAAAGUAGACUAGUAGCUUAAAAUCUUGAUUCGUUUUAAAGGAUUAGAUAGGUGAAUAUCACUAUCACUAAAAUAUAUUAACUAUAUCACUAAACUAUAUUAAGUAUAUCACUAAAGUAUAUUAAGUAUAUCACUAAAGUAUAUCAACUAAGAUCACUAAAAUACAACUGCUUAGUAUAAAUUUGGGAAUAUACUUCUUGUUAAAUAGUAUAUUUUACAUGUAUUUGCAAGUUUUAUGAUUUUGCAGGUUACAUAGUUCAAUGCAGAAUAAGUUCAAGACUUCGUGCACAUAGUUUGUCAAAGUUUACAAACACUGN
rnacentral:lncRNA from 1 species